AAUACUGGCACUCAAGGAGUUCCCAGUCUUAAGUUUUCUUUUAUUCCAAGAACGACGUCAACGUUUCAGCUCCCCAUGAAAGCUCCAUGGGGAGCUGAAACGUUGAUGUAGUUCUUGGAAUAAAACUAAACUUAAGAUUGGAAACUCCUUGAGUGCCGAUAUU
rnacentral:miRNA from 1 species